AUACUUACCUUGAGACGCCAUAGGAGAUCAAGAAGUCCUUAUGGUCGGCUUUAGGGGCUUACAUUGCACAACGUUACUCCUGAAGCUGUCGGCUAUCACAUAGUGGUAGUGCGGGUCUCAUAAUUUUUGAUUUCUCCUAAUUGAUUUUGUAUGAU
rnacentral:snRNA from 1 species